rnacentral:lncRNA from 1 species
AAAGGUACGAAUAUUGAUAAGUUAGCUAAUUUGAUGUUACAAUAAACAUGAAAUAGAGUUUGUGAAGACCUUAGUGCUAGAAAUACUUGCAUGCAUUAAGUUAAGAUUAUGCAAGUAAGUUGUCCUAUUUUUAUCUUUGAAGACUAAUAAUAGUUGUAAUGAACAUAUCUCAGACAAUAUACACUCGGAUUUACAUUUUAGUUAAACCAUCACCACUUCCACAGCCACCUUGUCUCAAGCAUUCAAUCACAUUCUAAGAUAUCUUUAUUGAAAUUAAGUGUGACUACUUUACCAAAAGACUCUAGAAUGGACCAAUCAAUGAAACUGUCGGUAUCUCCACAACUUUUCAAUUAAAUAGAAAGUUUCAAUCAAACAGGAUACUGAGUGUACCUACUGCUCCUCAAGACAAUGGAUAAUGGGAGUUAUCAAACUUGCGAUAACUACAAGUUUUUUUAAUAAGUAAAAAGAUUGUAUGACUUCGGUAUCCGCAAUAUGGUAUCGUGCAUUGGUUCUUAUCUUAGAAUGGCUCCCUUCCGUUUAGGUGAAAAUAAGAAAGGUUAUCAGUUCAAGCAAAGAUGACAAUGAUCAUUAUGGAGCCGAUCAUGAUGACGAA